CAGCUUUGUAGCAAUACAGAGGCUGGCGACCGGCAAACGGGUGCGGAACACGUACAGAACCUUCCUUCGAGCGGGGAAUAGCCCAGAGAAAUUUGGAUUAAUACCCCAUAGUAUUACAGAGUGGCAUCACUUUGUAAUUAAAGAUUUAUCACUUGAAGAUGGCUGUGCGGCUGAUUAGAUAGUUGGCGGGGUAACGGCCCACCAAGUCUGCGAUCAGUAACUGGUGUGAGAGCACGACCAGUCACACGGGCACUGAGACACGGGCCCGACUCCUACGGGAGGCAGCAGUAAGGAAUAUUGGUCAAUGGACGCAAGUCUGAACCAGCCAUGCCGCGUGGAGGAUGAAGGUCCUCUGGAUUGUAAACUUCUUUUAUAUGGGACGAAAAAGGGUCUUUCUAGAUCAACUGACGGUACCAUAUGAAUAAGCACCGGCUAACUCCGUGCCAGCAGCCGCGGUAAUACGGAGGGUGCAAGCGUUAUCCGGAUUCACUGGGUUUAAAGGGUGCGUAGGUGGGCAGAUAAGUCAGUGGUGAAAUCUCUGGGCUUAACCCGGAAACUACCAUUGAUACUAUUUGUCUUGAAUUCUCUGGAGGUAAGCGGAAUAUGUCAUGUAGCGGUGAAAUGCUUAGAUAUGACGUAGAACACCCAUUGCGAAGGCAGCUUACUACGGAGACAUUGACACUGAGGCACGAAAGCGUGGGGAUCAAACAGGAUUAGAUACCCUGGUAGUCCACGCCCUAAACGAUGAUUACUCGACAUUAGCGAUAUUACUGUUAGUGUCUAAGCGAAAGCAUUAAG
rnacentral:rRNA from 1 species